rnacentral:rRNA from 1 species
GUGGGGAAUAUUGGACAAUGGGCGAAAGCCUGAUCCAGCAAUGCCGCGUGUGUGAAGAAGGUCUUCGGAUUGUAAAGCACUUUCGACGGGGACGAUGAUGACGGUACCCGUAGAAGAAGCCCCGGCUAACUUCGUGCAAG